CGCCAUAUUGUUUUAAUAGUUUAAUACAUUGUGAAAGCUUUAACCUUUUAGGUAGGUUUUAAACAAUAUUUUAGCGUCAAUCAUACCUAAUGUUAGCAUGACAGAUAUGGAAUAAUAUGCAUUAAAAUCUAUAAGGAGUAUUCCAUAUCUGGCAUUGUAUGCAUUAUGGUUUAUUUUUGCAUUUCUUCCGAUCUGGCAUUAUGGGCGGUAAAGCAAAACUCGAGUCUUGUUCAUUCCUAUGGAUGGGAAAUGCUCGCACUGCAAUGCAAUAAAAUUCCAUGCGGUAAGGGGUUAAAUUAUGUAUUUUUAUUUCAUUGGUACUUGAUUAUAAAAAGUUAAAUCACAAUAAUCAAUUAUUGUAAUGGAUUCACUAGUCGGUUACGGUAGCGAUGAUGACAUUGAAACUGAACGCUAUGGACACCAAGCAUCGGUAAGUGUAUGCACUUGAUGCAUAAUUUUUCUAGGUAUUAUUGAGCAAUAUGUUUGAACAUUAAAUUUUUAUGUGUUUAGUUUUUGUUUUUCACUCUCAUUAAAUAAUAUAAAUGUAUUAUGUUUUGAUAUGGAAGUCUUUACUCUUUUAACUAUAAUCAGUCCAAUGCAGCAAUGGUUUAUUAUACGUACAUUACUACCUUGAUUUACUAUUUCCAAGAAAUUAUCAUAUUUGAAGUAAUUUCAAAUCUCUAUUAGUAUUUCUCAUUAUGUGAUUUUCAAGAAUUUGAUAUUAAUUAAUUUCUCUGCUUGACAAUAGACUAAUAUUAUAGUAGAAGAGAAGAUUACACUAACUAUGAUCAAGUCAACAUGGAUCUAAGUGAGUCAAAAACGAUCUGCGUGGCGUCAAGAUGUCCCUAUCCCUCUAGUGACUUUACCAUGUAAGUACGUAGAGUUAAGAAAGACAUGUUUAAUCCAUUCAUUAUUAUUGCUCUUGCCCCUAUUAAUAUUAUUGUAAAGGCUUCUUGUAUCUGGGUCUACAAAUAAAUAUCGUUUAAGAAUUCUUCAACCAUAUGUUAACAACAAAUUUGAUAUAAGAAACUUAAUUAAACAAAACAAGGUAAAGUAGAUAAUAUAGGUAAUGCACAUAUAAUAAAAAGUCUCAUGCCAUGAUCAACAUUGUAGGAUAUUAAAGUAGAAAAUGACUGAUGAUGUUUGUCGUAGGAUUCCCAAGGAAAAGAGUCUGAGCCAGAAUUGCCGCAGGCUGAGUCACGGGUUUUACGGCAGACAUCUGGAGAGGACCAGUCAAGCUCUACUGACAGUCGAGAUGCAGAGCGCCCACGAGAGUAUGGCAAAGAACGUGAGCGCGACCGUGACCGUGAUCGCGAUGGAAAGCGAGACAAGCGCCGCGAAUCACCGCGGAAGGAUCGGGAACGCUCUGAAAGAGAUCGUCGCUCACCACGUAAAGAUGAUAAAUACAGAUCGUAGUCAAAGGCCUCGUGAUGCACCACGUUGAGGAUUACUUGGCGACAGACCAGACGAUAAACACUCGUCUACUGAUAGCAAGAUGCCAGCAUUAAUGGAUCUUAAACCAUUUGGAAGUGACGGGCUGACCAAGUUAAAAUCACAAGACGCUCGUGACGCUGUAUCUCCCAGGUUUGUUGAUCGUCGGGAACGUGAUCAUGACCGAGAGCGUGAUCGUGGACGCGACCGUGACUCUGAGUGUGACCGCGAACGAGAACGCGAUUAUGAUGGCAGACACAACAGACGUUCUGAAGAUAGACGGUCAUCUGGACGCGACAGAGGCAGCGAGAGGUCUCGAUCACGUGGUCACGCCUAUCCUCCCCCACACACGUCAAAUGAACGAAGAUCACCCUCAUCUGGUGACUACAGAACGUCUUCAUACAAAAUCAAUAAGAAGCUCGAGGUUAUGGAAAAAAUGGGUAAAUUAUUACACGCUUUAUAUUAGCUUCACCUGUAUGUAUGUAUGUAUGUAACCGACUCUUUCGGACUCGAUUUUGACCCACUUUAAACGGACAGAUUUAAUUCAAACUUUGUAU